CUCGAGUAGGGCCCAAGCAAGCCAGGAAGGAGGAGGCAGCCAGAGUGUUCUCUGCAGCAGAAGACUCCUUGCUGCCCUGCUCAACCCAGACCAGCAUUUGCCAGCUUGGGACCUGGUUAUCUGAAUCCUGCCUCCAUGUCAACUUGCCUAUGCAUUGAGAUCACCAUUGGAUCCAGGUGUCCCUGCCAUGAGUAGGAGCCUCCCAUGGUGAGACAAGGCAGACCCAGAAGAGUACAUAACUCCUUUAAAUGCUGCUGGAAAGGCAGAGAGGAAAAUAUCAUCAUCAGCCCUUACAGCUAGAAUAUUUAAAUGCUUGAGGAAGAAGUUCACUCCUGAUCUAUCGCCACUUGCAUAUUUGUGUGCAUCCUCUUUUACAGCCGAGCAGGAAGAAGACAUGUUCACUUGAACAUGCAGAAAGAGAGCUAGCUGUCUGAGAGCACAGAUCAAGGCAUAGAGAAAGACAAGUGUGG